CUUCCUUGCUAGAUGCUGAGGAGCGGCGGAGGGGUGAGUAAGGCGUACGACACUGCCGAGGAGUGGGGGAUAGCCCAAAUGAAUUUGGAUUAGUACCGCAUACGCCCUACGGGGGAAAGGAGGGGAUCUUCGGAACUUUCCCUAUUCGAUGUGCCUGCGUGAGAUUAUGUUGUUGGUGAGGUAAAGGCUCACCAAGGCGACGAUCUCUGAUUGGUUUGACAGGAUGAUCAGCCACACUGGGACUGAUACACGGCCCAGACUCCUACGGGAGGGAACAAUGGGGAAUAUUGCGCUCUGGGGGAGACCCUGAUGCGACCAUGCCCCGCGUGUGAAAAAGGCCUUCCGGUUGUAAAGAACUUUCCGCAACGAGGAAAGGAUGUCCCUUAAUACCUUGCGCCUAUGACCUUAACUGCACAAAAGGGACCGGCUAACUCCGUGCCUACUGCCGCGGUAAUACGGAGGGUCCGAGCGUUAAUCCGAAUUACUGGGCCUAGAGCGCGCGUACGCAGCGAGGUCAGUCACAGGUGAAAGCCCCGGGCUUAACCUGUAAAGUGCAUCUGAUACUGCUUGUCUAGAUCACAGAUGAUGGUGGUGGAAUUUCCUGUG
rnacentral:rRNA from 1 species